rnacentral:misc_RNA from 1 species
UUUUUUUUUUUACUGAAUAUGGUGUUGAUAUUGGAUGAAGCAGUUGUGGCUAAUGAUGGCCUGUUUAUUUGAUAUGCUCUUUCAAAUAGUAAAAAUGUGAUGUGUAUGUGUUUGCUUCUUUUGCUGAAAGGAUAAUGUUUGCACAUUUAUCAAGUGCUUUAUCUCAAGCUUAGGCUUUUUAGCUUUAGUUACUUGGAAUGUUGAAGAAAUUGGCUGAAGUAAAACCAAGUCAUUUAUUAACAUUACAAGGCAUGCUCAAUUUAGAUCUUGACUCAAGUUUAAUUUCACAUAUAAAAUGGGAUUGGUGGAACUCUUAUGGAGGCUAAGUAUAUUAUUUUG